AGUUUGAUCCUGGCUCAGAGCGAACGCUGGCGGCAGGCCUAACACAUGCAAGUCGAACGGUUCCUUCGGGGACAGUGGCAGACGGGUGAGUAACGCGUGGGAACGUGCCCUUUGGUUCGGAAUAACUCAGGGAAACUUGAGCUAAUACCGGAUACGUCCGAGAGGAGAAAGAUUUAUCGCCGAAGGAUCGGCCCGCGUCUGAUUAGCUAGUUGGUGGGGUAACGGCCUACCAAGGCGACGAUCAGUAGCUGGUCUGAGAGGAUGAUCAGCCACACUGGGACUGAGACACGGCCCAGACUCCUACGGGAGGCAGCAGUGGGGAAUAUUGGACAAUGGGCG
rnacentral:rRNA from 1 species